AACGAACGCUGGCGGCAGGCCUAACACAUGCAAGUCGAGCGCGCCUUCGGGUGAGCGGCGGCCGGGUGAGUAACGCGUGGGAAUAUGCCCUUCUCUACGGAAUAGUCCUGGGAAACUGGGGGUAAUACCGUAUACGCCCUUUGGGGGAAAGAUUUAUCGGGGAAGGAUUAGCCCGCGUUGGAUUAGGUAGUUGGUGGGGUAAUGGCCUACCAAGCCGACGAUCCAUAGCUGGUUUGAGAGGAUGAUCAGCCACACUGGGACUGAGACACGGCCCAGACUCCUACGGGAGGCAGCAGUGGGGAAUCUUAGAUAAUGGGGGCAACCCUGAUCUAGCCAUGCCGCGUGAGUGAUGAAGGCCUUAGGGUUGUAAAGCUCUUUCAGCUGGGAAGAUAAUGACGGUACCAGCAGAAGAAGCCCCGGCUAACUCCGUG
rnacentral:rRNA from 1 species